rnacentral:rRNA from 1 species
AGAGUUUGAUCAUGGCUCAGAUUGAACGCUGGCGGCAUGCCUUACACAUGCAAGUCGAACGGUAACGCGGGGCAACCUGGCGACGAGUGGCGAACGGGUGAGUAAUAUAUCGGAACGUGCCCAAUAGUGGGGGAUAGCCCGGCGAAAGCCGGAUUAAUACCGCAUACGCCCUGAGGGGGAAAGCGGGGGAUCGUAAGACCUCGCGUUAAUGGAGCGGCCGAUGCCGGAUUAGCUAGUUGGUGAGGUAAAGGCUCACCAAGGCGACGAUCCGUAGCUGGUCUGAGAGGACGACCAGCCACACUGGAACUGAGACACGGUCCAGACUCCUACGGGAGGCAGCAGUGGGGAAUUUUGGACAAUGGGCGCAAGCCUGAUCCAGCCAUUCCGCGUGAGUGAAGAAGGCCUUCGGGUUGUAAAGCUCUUUCGCAAGGAAAGAAAACUUAUCUCCUAAUACGAGGUGAGGUUGACGGUACCUUGAUAAGAAGCACCGGCUAACUACGUG